rnacentral:rRNA from 1 species
CCGAGUGCUUGCACUCAAUUGGAAAGAGGAGUGGCGGACGGGUGAGUAACACGUGGGUAACCUACCCAUCAGAGGGGGAUAACACUUGGAAACAGGUGCUAAUACCGCAUAACAGUUUAUGCCGCAUGGCAUAAGAGUAAAAGGCGCUUUCGGGUGUCGCUGAUGGAUGGACCCGCGGUGCAUUAGCUAGUUGGUGAGGUAACGGCUCACCAAGGCCACGAUGCAUAGCCGACCUGAGAGGGUGAUCGGCCACACUGGGACUGAGACACGGCCCAGACUCCUACGGGAGGCAGCAGUAGGGAAUCUUCGGCAAUGGACGAAAGUCUGACCGAGCAACGCCGCGUGAGUGAAGAAGGUUUUCGGAUCGUAAAACUCUGUUGUUAGAGAAGAACAAGGACGUUAGUAACUGAACGUCCCCUGACGGUAUCUAACCAGAAAGUCACGGCUAACUACGUGCCAGCAGCCGCGGUAAUACGUAGGUGGCAAGCGUUGUCCGGAUUUAUUGGGCGUAAAGCGAGCGCAGGCGGUUUCUUAAGUCUGAUGUGAAAGCCCCCGGCUCAACCGGGGAGGGUCAUUGGAAACUGGGAGACUUGAGUGCAGAAGAGGAGAGUGGAAUUCCAUGUGUAGCGGUGAAAUGCGUAGAUAUAUGGAGGAACACCAGUGGCGAAGG